rnacentral:rRNA from 1 species
GAUGAACGCUGGCGGCGUGCCUAAUACAUGCAAGUCGAGCGAACGGACGAGAAGCUUGCUUCUCUGAUGUUAGCGGCGGACGGGUGAGUAACACGUGGAUAACCUAUCUAUAAGACUGGGAUAACUUCGGGAAACCGUAGCUAAUACCGGAUAAUAUUUUCAACCGCAUGGUUCAAAAGUGAAAGACGGUCUUGCUGUUACUUAUAGAUGGAUCCGCGCUGCAUUAGCUAGUUGGUAAGGUAACGGCUUACCAAGGCAACGAUGCAUAGCCGACGUGAGAGGGUGAUCGGCCACACUGGAACUGAGACACGGUCCAGACUCCUACGAGAGGCAGCAGUAGGGAAUCUUCCGCAAUGGGCGAAAGCCUGACGGAGCAACGCGGCGUGAGUGAUGAAGGUCUUCGGAUCGUGAAACUCUGUUAUUAGUGAAGAACAUAUGUGUAAGUAACUGUGCACAUCUUGACGGUACCUAAUCAGAAAGCCACGGCUAACUACGUG